UCUCAUCAUGACUCAUGAGACUAGUUAUGUGACAAGAAAAGUAAAAUUAUAUUUAACAUAACCAAAUUACACUUUGAGACUUUAUCUUGUAAUUAGCGUGCACAUGUCUUAAUAUGCACGGGUCGGCCAAAUCCAUGGAAGGAUAAGGAGGGAGGGGCAACAAAUUGAAUCUCCAUUAAUUUAUUUAAUUAUGGGAAAUACCGCUCAAUGCCACUCACAUCCAAACUUAAUCUACAAAUACCACCUUUACUCACACAUUUUGCAAAUACAACCUAUAAAUACUUACUUAUUGCCCACAUAACAUUUUUUCUUAGUUUUUGUUUUCUCUCUCAACUCUCUCUCGCGCAGUUCUCUUCCUCUGUUAGCUCUCUCUGUGGUUCGCUUCGCGAAACCCAUCUCAUCCUCUUAUCUCUCUCUUAUGAAUCGUGAAACCCCCCUCGACCCCAUCCUCUAGAUCUCUCUUUCGAAUUGCCUAAGGUCCCAUCUGCUUGCAACCUCGAAGCUCAUCUCCUUUGCCGACCUCCAAUUGGCUGUCUUCUAGGUCUCUCAUUAUUGAUUGCUCUGGUUUCUUGCAUUUAGUCUUGAUGGUCAUUUUCAUAAUCUUUGUGGGUUUCUCUAAAAUUGAUUUUAUUUUGAUUGCUCUGAGUUAUGUGUUUUGAAUCUUCAUGCUCAUCAAUUUGGGUUUUUUACUAAAUGGAUUUAGAUUGCACUGAAUCUUGAAACUUUGGAUUUUUCAUUUGAUGUAGUAGAUUUGUAUUGUCUGAUUAUGAUGAUUAGGUAGUGUAGGGCUUCUUCUUUUAAAAAAGUGUUUGGGAGCUUUUUAAAGUUUUAUCAAAAAUAGCCAAAAUUUACCCCCUAUUUUCAUAAAUAUUAGUUUUUAUAAAAACUUUCACAUAUAGCAGAAAACCCACUUCAAUAGACCAAAUUACCCUUAGAAUUAAAAAAAAAAAAACAUUUGCAAUUCUUUUUCUUUGUACCUUAAGUUGCUGAAGUUUGAAAUUUGGAUUACUCCCCGUAGCCAGUCCAAACCAAAUUAGCUUACUAUGACGAUAAUGAAAACUUCGCCUGAGGAUCGCCAAUCCAUCAACACAUCCAUGGUCCCCCACACCAAGCUUUGUACAACAACAUGACUUC
rnacentral:lncRNA from 1 species